AGAGUUCUGGGCCGCACGCGCGCUACACUGACAGAAGCCAACGAGUUCUUCACCUUGGCCGAAAGGUCUGGGUAAUCUUGUUAAACUCUGUCGUGCUGGGGAUAGAGCAUUGCAAUUAUUGCUCUUCAACGAGGAAUGCCUAGUAAGCGCGUGUCAUCAGCAUGCGUUGAUUACGUCCCUGACCUUUGUACACACCGCCCGUCGCUACUACCGAUUGAAUGGCUCAGUGAGGCGUUCGGACUGGCUCGGGGAGGUUGGCAACGACCACCCCAAGCCGGAAAGUUCGUCAAACUCGGUCAUUUAGAGGAAGUAAAAGUCGUAACAAGGUCUCCGUAGGUGAACCUGCGGAGGGAUCAUUACACAAUAAAAUACGAAGGCCGUUCGCGGCUGGACUAUUUAUUACCCUUGUCUUUUGCGCACUUGUUGUUUCCUGGGCGGGUUCGCUCGCCACCAGGACCACAAUAUAAACCUUUUUUAUGCAGUUGCAAUCAGCGUCAGUAUAACAAAUGUAAAUCAUUUACAACUUUCAACAACGGAUCUCUUGGUUCUGGCAUCGAUGAAGAACGCAGCGAAAUGCGAUACGUAGUGUGAAUUGCAGAAUUCAGUGAAUCAUCGAAUCUUUGAACGCACAUUGCGCCCUUUGGUAUUCCAAAGGGCAUGCCUGUUCGAGCGUCAUUUGUACCCUCAAGCUUUGCUUGGUGUUGGGCGUUUUUGUCCCCCCCAAAAGGGGGACUCCCCUUAAAAGGAUGGCAGCCGGCCUACUGGUUUUCGCAGCGCAACACAUUUUUGCCUUGCAAUCCGCAAAAGAGGAGGGAAUCCCUCAGACUCCUUCUCCGUUUGACCUCGAACAGG
rnacentral:rRNA from 1 species